rnacentral:rRNA from 1 species
UACGUAGGGGGCGAGCGUUGUCCGUAGUUACUGGGCGUAAAGCGCUUGUAGGCGGUCCACCAAGUUUGGGGUGACAGUUGCCGACUUAAUCGGCAAAGUGCCUCAAAGACUGGCGGACUUGAGGGCCACAGAGGGACAUGGAACUCCAGGUGUAGUGGUGAAAUGCGUAGAUAUCUGGAAGAACACCAAAGGCGAAGGCAGUGUCCUGGGUGGUCGCUGACGCUGAGAGGCGAAAGCCAGGGGAGCGAACGGG